rnacentral:rRNA from 1 species
UACGGAGGGUGCGAGCGUUAAUCGGAAUUACUGGGCGUAAAGCGCACGCAGGCGGUUUGUUAAGCUAGAUGUGAAAGCCCCGGGCUCAACCUGGGAUGGUCAUUUAGAACUGGCAGACUAGAGUCUUGGAGAGGGGAGUGGAAUUCCAGGUGUAGCGGUGAAAUGCGUAGAUAUCUGGAGGAACAUCAGUGGCGAAGGCGACUCCCUGGCCAAAGACUGACGCUCANGUGCGAAAGUGUGGGUAGCGAACAGC